GCUCUCUCUCGGCCGGCCCCACCCCUGCAGAUGCAGAAUUGUCAUUAUCUUCAUCACUAUCCUCCUCAUCAUCGUCAUCUUCACCAUUGUCACCAUCAUUGCCACCCUCAUCGCUGCCAUCAUCAUCAUCAAUACCGUCAUUACCGCCACCACCAGAACCAUUAUCGUCAAAAACUAGUCUAUCUGUUGCUGAAGCAACGACUGAAUCCAUCACCUCUGUGGAACAGCAAACACCAAUAA